GCUGAGGGUGGAUGUGUUCUUAGCAACAAGCCAGAGGAGUGUAGGAGGAAGAGACUGGGGAAUCAGAGAUAGAGGAGUGGAACACUGACACAAAUGUGUGUGAUGGAGCAGAAAAGAGAAUUGUUUGUAUAUUUGAAUGAAUUGUAGUUUGUCAGUAAUUGAAAUGAGAAGAUGAAAUUGAGGAGUAUGUCAGGAUUUUACGGACUUAUUUAACUUUGGAUAAAAUAGAGAACAUCAGCUACUGACAGUGAUUUCUUUUACAACUUAACUUGUUGGAUUACUGUGGAAGCUGCUUGGAGCUUUGGAGAAUGGGUGGGUUUAGACUCUAUUUUUGACAUUUAUUCUGUCCUUGUAUCAAUCCCUUUUUAUGGACUUUACACUGGAAUCAUAAUGUGGAGCCCUCUUUUUAAUUCCACUCUUUCAGAAAAUGUACUUAAUAUUAAUUGAUCUCUACACCUUCUACUUGAUGCUGUAUUUCAAGCCUGAGUAAUGUGAUUCAGCUCCACAGCACAGAAGAAGGGAGGGGAAGCGAUGUUCUCUCGCAAUCGCUGCAAUAGACAGGAUGGCACGGGCGUCCCUCAGUAUCCCCGGCCCAAAAAAAAAAAUUCAGUGCCAAA